GGUUGUGGCUCAGUGGUAGAGCACUUGCCUAGCAUGUGCAAGGCCCUGGGUUCAAUCCUCAGCACCA
rnacentral:tRNA from 1 species